UAGUUAAUAACAUACGUACUGUUCGAAUUCAGAAAAAAUUAGGAUUAUAAUGAAAAACUAGGGCUUUCUUUGUAGAUAAAAACGCCAAAAAACUUCCCACGGCUUGUUUCAAUAUUUUUGCCGAACAGUAAACACGACGAUUCCACUCGCAGGUCGCGAGGAUGAAGUCUGAUCUAUAUAAAUCGUAUUUAAACUGUACUAACUGUAGGGAGCCACCUUA
rnacentral:lncRNA from 1 species